rnacentral:lncRNA from 1 species
CCUGAAGUCUUGGUGGUGUAGGAGUCGAUCCUCAAAGCUGUAGGGCCAACACCAAGGUACUGGACUGGUGGUGGAGAUGUUUACAUGGACACAGCAGUGCCUGUCCAGCUGCUCUGAAGGUGACAGGUGGAUGAACAGCUGGUUCCCACCUGCUGGGAUAAGAGAGCAGAUGGAGGAGGGAGCACAGGUGUGGGAAUGUGCAGGUGCCAGACUUCCCCGGAGCAGAUGCCCCAGGUCCCAAUUCACAGAUUUGCUCAUGAUCCACCCUCUCCGUGGCCGUCAAGUCCCGGUAAAGGAUGACUUGGACAUGAUGAACUCUACUGCCUCGUGCACAUUACUUCCAUGCCGUGUCUUUCCUGGAUAACUCGGAGCAGAGCACUCUGUUGGUUGUGUUCAUAACAGACUGGAUGAGGAGGCAACGGCAGAAUCAAGGAGACCAGUUAGAAGGUAAUUGCAGUAAUCCAGGGACAAGAUGAUGGUGGCUCAGACUAACAUGGUAUCAUCAAAGAGGAUGAAUGUAAUGUCAUGUUACAUGGCUGUGGCUGUCUUCGAACAUCUCUCAUCAAUCCUUCUCCAAACUCUUCGUUAGCUCCUCAGCUGAUUCCUCACCUGCAAAGACGGCGGUAACCACCUCCUGCUCUUCUCUGAAACACAGAAAAACCUCGUUGCUCUAUGACUUCAACUAGUUCCUCCAGAAGAAUGACUUAUAAAUCAGAGGACCUAAUCUAGGUUAUCCAGCAGCCUCCACC